rnacentral:rRNA from 1 species
GAUGAACGCUGGCGGCGUGCCUAAUACAUGCAAGUCGAGCGAACAGACGAGGAGCUUGCUCCUCUGACGUUAGCGGCGGACGGGUGAGUAACACGUGGAUAACCUACCUAUAAGACUGGGAUAACUUCGAGAAACCGGAGCUAAUACCGGAUAACAUGUUGAACCGCAUGGUUCAACAGUGAAAGACGGUCUUGCUGUCACUUAUAGAUGGAUCCGCGCCGCAUUAGCUAGUUGGUAAGGUAACGGCUUACCAAGGCAACGAUGCGUAGCCGACCUGAGAGGGUGAUCGGCCACACUGGAACUGAGACACGGUCCAGACUCCUACGGGAGGCAGCAGUAGGGAAUCUUCCGCAAUGGGCGAAAGCCUGACGGAGCAACGCCGCGUGAGUGAAGAAGGUCUUCGGAUCGUAAAACUCUGUUAUUAGGGAAGAACAAAUGUGUAAGUAACUAUGCACGUCUUGACGGUACCUAAUCAGAAAGCCACGGCUAACUACGUG